GGGUGCGAUCAUACCAGUACUAACGCAAGGGAUCCCAACAGAACCCUGUAGUUCAGUGUGCUUGGGCGAGACUAGUACUAGGAUGGCUAACCUCCUAGGAAGUCCUCGUGUUGCACCCC
rnacentral:rRNA from 1 species